rnacentral:rRNA from 1 species
GAUGAACGCUGGCGGCGUGCCUAAUACAUGCAAGUCGAGCGGAAAGACGAUGAGCUUGUUCCUCUGACGUUAGCGGCGGGCGGGUGAGUAACGCGUGUAUAACCUACUUAUAAGACGGGGAUAACUACGGGAAACCGGAUCAAAUACCGGAGAAUAUACUGAACCGUAUGGUUCAAUGGUAAAAGACGGUUUUGGUGUCUCUAAUAGAUGGUUCCGCGCCGCAUUAGCUAGUUGGUAAGGUAACGGCUUACCAAGGCGACGAUGCGUAGACGACCUGAGAGGGUGAUCGGCCACCCUGGAACUGAGACACGGACCAGGCUCCUACGGGAGGCAGCAGUAGGGAAUCUUACGCAAUGGGCGAAAGCCUGACAGAGCAACGCCGCGUGAGUGAUGAAGGUCUUCGGAUCGUAAAGCUCUGUUAUUGGGUAAGAACCGCUGUGGAAUUAACCAUGGCCGUCUUGACGGUACCUAAUCAAAAAGCACCGGCUAACUACGUG